AACAGGAUUAGAUACCCUGGUAGUCCAUGCCGUAAACGAUGUCGACCAGCCGUUGGGUGCCUUGAGCACUUAGUGGCGCAGUUAACGCGAUAAGUCGACCGCCUGGGGAGUACGGCCGCAAGGUUAAAACUCAAAUGAAUUGACGGGGGCCCGCACAAGCGGUGGAGCAUGUGGUUUAAUUCGAUGCAACGCGAAGAACCUUACCUACCCUUGACAUCCUCGGAACCCUCUGGAGACAGAGGGGUGCCUUCGGGAACCGAGAGACAGGUGCUGCAUGGCUGUCGUCAGCUCGUGUUGUGAAAUGUUGGGUUAAGUCCCGUAACGAGCGCAACCCCUGUCCCUAUUUGCCAGCACGUGGUGGUGGGAACUCUAGGGAGACUGCCGGUGACAAACCGGAGGAAGGUGGGGACGACGUCAAGUCAUCAUGGCCCUUACGGGUAGGGCUACACACGUGCUACAAUGGCCGGUACAAAGGGAUGCAAGACGGCGACGUGGAGCGAAUCCCAGAAAGCCGGCCUCAGUUCGGAUCGGAGUCUGCAACUCGACUCCGUGAAGUCGGAAUCGCUAGUAAUCGUGAAUCAGAAUGUCACGGUGAAUACGUUCCCGGGCCUUGUACACACCGCCCGUCACACCAUGGGAGUGGACUGCACCAGAAGUGGUUAGCCUAACUUCGGAGGGCGAUCACCACGGUGUGGUUCAUGACUGGGGUGAAGUCGUAACAAGGUAACC
rnacentral:rRNA from 1 species